GUAGUAAACUUUUUAUUUUUUAAUAUGUAAUAUCCCCUUAAAUAUGAGUAUAUUGGCAAUUACUUGUCCAUCAAGCAGCUUCUAUUGAUGUGAAGUAGAUACCAAGUAGCAGAGGGACAACUUAAACUAGCCUUCUCAUUUAAACUUAUUUGAUUUCGGCCAUUUUUGUUAUUAAAGAUAUCGGCUAUCAGUGCUUGUUUAUCUCACUGAGAUCUGUAGCUGUCAGCAACCAUUUGGCUGCAAGUCAACAACUAGACUCCAUGAUCUGAAAGCUCCUUCAGUCUCCCUCACACUUCCUCUUUCAAUUUUUACUUCAUGGUGUGCAUUGGAACCUUACAACAUUACUUCAGCUUACAGCUAAUCUGUCCUACCUGCCCAAUAAAUCAGUUUGACUAUGAAAGUCUCCUAUUUGCUUGUCCUGCCUCAUUACAGUAACAUACACAUCAUAUUGAGAGUCCCUGUGAUUGGUGGUUAAUUCGCCUCUCUGGUUUUUAAUAUGGAUUUUCAGUUUAAGAUAUUAACCACACUUGAAAUCAAAAGUUUGCUUCUAUUUUCACCCACUAUUGUAGCUGCGCUGUUAGAAUUCCCUAAGUGAUGACGUUAACACCGCUGACCUCCCCACCAUUGAUUUUGCCUUUCAUGUGCUCCUCCUCACAAUUUUCAUCAUACACCACUGCCAUAAGCAAUCACCCUUGCUAUUUCUUCCUCGGGUUUCUAGUCCUACUUUGAUUACAGCAGACCCUACCCUUUCUCCAGAGGCUCUCUCUUCUAGAAAGAAAUCUUAUGUACAGCUAAAUUUAAACUUGGCUUCCUGAGCAAUCUUCCCAGCUACACAUUCACAUUCAAAUCAACAGGUAACACCUGGUAAAAUGGACAUUAAAAUUGUUGUGAAAAUGCAAUACACCUAAAACUUGCUUGAUGAAUACUAGGUGCAAGAAACCUCACAGCAGACACCCAUGGAAUAGCCUACUUAUUAGAGAAGUUUCUUCCUAAUCCCCUUUAGUUAGCACUUUAUUUGUUCCCUGUUGUAUAAUGGUUUUUCAAUUCCUUACAAAGGCUUUACAAAGCUUUCAUUUAACCUAACAUAAUGUACUGUAAAUGAAUAAUCCCCUUUUUUUCCCCUGAUCCUGUUAAUCUUUUGGCCUCAGCUACAUAUCACAGCAGUGAGAUGCAAAUGUUAAUUAUGCAAGAAGUAGAAGAUCUGUAUUUUGAUUUCCAUCUGUCCAAUACAAGUCCAGCACAAGAAGCAGAUAACCGAGUGCUUUCCUAUCACCAUGGGAACACAACUGCCAGGACCACACCACGAAUAACAUCUCAUACCGACUCCCAGAAGCCCCAGACCAGUACCUUCUACCCAUUAGGGCCUCCUUUAUGCCUUUUGUUGACUCAAUUUUCACAAACUCCUGAUUAUUCUCAUUGUACCUAACUCUUCAUGAGGACUGAAGAAACAUCAUCUUAUUUGCAGUCAAGACUCUGAACUACAGGAGAGAACAUUCCUGGCUGUUUAAAAAAAUUAUUGGAUGAGAUCCCCUGAGAGACUGUCCUUAGGGACAUGGGAACAAAACAGAACUGGCAGCUCUUCAAGGACACCUUUCUGAGAGCACAAGAGCUCUCCAUCCCCCAGCAUAAGAAAUCAAGUAGAGGAGGCAAGAUAUCAGCAUGGCUAAGCAAGGACCUGCCAGUAAAAGGAGACCCUUCCAGAAGGGCAUAUAACUUGCCAGAAUGGUAGAAGACAUUCCAAGAACAGGAGCAGCAGCAGAGUUUCUACUUGACCAUCUGUUAGGGAAUGCCUAAGAACCUAGUUGUAUCCUUGAGACUUCCAUGCCUCUGUCAAACGUGAUCAAGUGGACAACAGGUAGAGCAACGGCCAGCAUGAUCAAAUAAUCUCACCUUUCUUUGGAACUCAGACUUAAACGUACACCUAUCCCAAAAGUUCUGUCAAACUGUGGUUCAAUAGCUCACGGGCUUUUAGUGUCACACCCAAAUUAGAGGGUUUAGGCAGUUUAACAAUAAAAAUAUAUUCCCAAAGAAAGUAAAUCCGA